rnacentral:rRNA from 1 species
UACGUAGGGUGCAGGCGUUAAUCGGAAUUACUGGGCGUAAAGCGUGCGCAGGCGGUCUGCUAAGAGAGGUGUGAAAUCCCCGGGCUUAACCUGGGAACUGCGCUUCUAACUGGCAGGCUAGAGUGUGGCAGAGGGGGGUGGAAUUCCACGUGUAGGCAGUGAAAUGCGUAGAGAUGUGGAGGAACACCGAUGGCGAAGGCAGCCCCCUGGGCUAACACUGACGCUCAUGCACGAAAGCGUGGGGAGCAAA